GAUGAAGAACGCAGUGAAAUGCGAUAAGUAAUGUGAAUUGCAGAAUUCAGUGAAUCAUCGAAUCUUUGAACGCACAUUGCGCCCGCCAGUAUUCUGGCGGGCAUGCCUGUCUGAGCGUCAUUUCAACCCUCAUGCCCCUAGGGCGUGGUGUUGGGGAUCGGCCAAAGCCCGCGAGGGACGGCCGGCCCCUAAAUCUAGUGGCGGACCCGUCGUGGCCUCCUCUGCGAAGUAGUGAUAUUCCGCAUCGGAGAGCGAUGAGCCCCUGCCGUUAAACCCCCAACUUUCCAAGGUUGACCUCAGAUCAGGUAGGGAUACCCGCUGAACUUAAGCAUAUCAAUAAGCGGAGGA
rnacentral:misc_RNA from 1 species